ACGUCGAGUGGCGAACGGGUGAGUAACACGUGGGUGAUCUGCCUUGCACUCUGGGAUAAGCUUGGGAAACUGGGUCUAAUACCGGAUAGGAACCGUCUUUAGUGUGUGUGGUGGAAAGUUUUCGGUGCAAGAUGAGCCCGCGGCCUAUCAGCUUGUUGGUGGGGUAAUGGCCUACCAAGGCGACGACGGGUAGCCGGCCUGAGAGGGUGUACGGCCACAUUGGGACUGAGACACGGCCCAG
rnacentral:rRNA from 1 species